UGCAAGUCGAGCGGACAGAUGGGAGCUUGCUCCCUGAUGUUAGCGGCGGACGGGUGAGUAACACGUGGGUAACCUGCCUGUAAGACUGGGAUAACUCCGGGAAACCGGGGCUAAUACCGGAUGGUUGUUUGAACCGCAUGGUUCAGACAUAAAAGGUGGCUUCGGCUACCACUUACAGAUGGACCCGCGGCGCAUUAGCUAGUUGGUGAGGUAACGGCUCACCAAGGCGACGAUGCGUAGCCGACCUGAGAGGGUGAUCGGCCACACUGGGACUGAGACACGGCCCAGACUCCUACGGGAGGCAGCAGUAGGGAAUCUUCCGCAAUGGACGAAAGUCUGACGGAGCAACGCCGCGUGAGUGAUGAAGGUUUUCGGAUCGUAAAGCUCUGUUGUUAGGGAAGAACAAGUGCCGUUCAAAUAGGGCGGCACCUUGACGGUACCUAACCAGAAAGCCACGGCUAACUACGUGCCAGCAGCCGCGGUAAUACGUAGGUGGCAAGCGUUGUCCGGAAUUAUUGGGCGUAAAGGGCUCGCAGGCGGUUUCUUAAGUCUGAUGUGAAAGCCCCCGGCUCAACCGGGGAGGGUCAUUGGAAACUGGGGAACUUGAGUGCAGAAGAGGAGAGUGGAAUUCCACGUGUAGCGGUGAAAUGCGUAGAGAUGUGGAGGAACACCAGUGGCGAAGGCGACUCUCUGGUCUGUAACUGACGCUGAGGAGCGAAAGCGUGGGGAGCGAACAGGAUUAGAUACCCUGGUAGUCCACGCCGUAAACGAUGAGUGCUAAGUGUUAGGGGGUUUCCGCCCCUUAGUGCUGCAGCUAACGCAUUAAGCACUCCGCCUGGGGAGUACGGUCGCAAGACUGAAACUCAAAGGAAUUGACGGGGGCCCGCACAAGCGUUGGAGCAUGUGGUUUAAUUCGAAGCACCCGAAGAACCUUACCAGGUCUUG
rnacentral:rRNA from 1 species